CUACCAUCUACCCUACACACUGGCACUUACAUGGCAUAAAUUGGGCAAUCCUUUCCCUGCUCAACUUUCGAGCUACAGAUUAACCUACUAUCGAUAUUCGCAGAUACUCUGUGCUGGUUAUGAUAACAUAUCCAGAGGCAAUACAGUCAUACACUAUCUAGAAGACUUCUUGUUGCUCAAAGCAUAUUUUUCACUAGAAGCCUCAUGGCAGCUUAGUCUGGUUGACCACUUGGGCGUCCCAGUACCCCAUAUGAAACAGAAGGCGCAGACACUAUCAUCGCAUUACUGGGCAUAUGACUUGAGUCGGCAUCCAUACACGCAAGUUACCACAAGACAAAUAGGGAACAUUCUCAACUAAAUCAAUCACUACCUCCUGCUUAGUACUUACAACUACAAGGAACUACAAUCCCU
rnacentral:lncRNA from 1 species